AUUGAACGCUGGCGGCAUGCUUUACACAUGCAAGUCGAACGGCAGCACGGGUGCUUGCACCUGGUGGCGAGUGGCGAACGGGUGAGUAAUGCACCGGAACGUAUCCAAUAAUGGGGGAUAACGCACCGAAAGGUGUGCUAAUACCGCAUACGCCCUGAGGGGGAAAGCGGGGGACCGAAAGGCCUCGCGUUACUGGAGCGGCCGAUGCCGGAUUAGCUAGUUGGUGAGGUAAAGGCUCACCAAGGCGACGAUCCGUAGCUGGUCUGAGAGGACGACCAGCCACACUGGGACUGAGACACGGCCCAGACUCCUACGGGAGGCAGCAGUGGGGAAUUUUGGACAAUGGGCGCAAGCCUGAUCCAGCCAUGCCGCGUGAGUGAAGAAGGCCUUCGGGUUGUAAAGCUCUUUCGCAAGGAAAGAAAACUCAUCUCCUAAUACGAGGUGAGGAUGACGGUACCUUGAUAAGAAGCACCGGCUAACUACGUGCCAGCAGCCGCAGUAA
rnacentral:rRNA from 1 species